rnacentral:rRNA from 1 species
AUUGAACGCUGGCGGCAUGCUUUACACAUGCAAGUCGAACGGUAACAGGCCGCAAUGUGCUGACGAGUGUCGAACGGGUGCGUAAUGCAUCGGAACGUGCCCAGUCGUGGGGGGUAACUACUCGCUAGAGUAGCUAAUACCGCAUACGAUCUAUGGAUGAAAGCGGGGGACCGUAAGGCCUCGCGCGAUUGGUGCGGCCGAUGUCAGAUUAGUUAGUUGGUAGGGUAAAGGCUCACCAAGCCAACGAUCUGUAGCUGGUCUGAGAGGACGACCAGCCACACUGGGACUGAGACACGGCCCAGACUCCUACGGGAGGCAGCAGUGGGGAAUUUUGGACAAUGGGCGCAAGCCUGAUCCAGCAAUGCCGCGUGCAGGAAGAAGGCCUUCGGGUCGUAAACUGCUUUUGUACGGAACGAAACGGCUCUGGUUAAUACCCGGGGCUAAUGACGGUACCGGAAGAAUAAGCACCGGCUAACUACGUG